GCGGAGCGGCGAGGCUUCCCGUAGGAAAAGAGCCCGAGGCUUGCAGGCGGCCGGGGAAUAGACCGAGGAGAGGGAAUAACGCCCUGCGGAGGGACAGGCGGCAGCGGAGCGCUGCAGGGCGCUCGGCGGCAGAGAAACUGAGGCACUGGGAGUGAAGCGAUGUCCCCAAGGUCACACGGCAGAGCAGCGGCAGCCAGCCUGGCCCCAGCCACGGCUACCAUGUGCGCAGGCUUCCACCUACCACCCGGCCCCGCUGCCUCGUGGCUGUAGCUGCUCGCAGGUUACCUUCCUCCAGCCCUGUGUCUUGCAGCUUCUUCAAGUCUAAACACAGCGGCCCUGCGACCUAGCACACUGGGGUGGGGAAGGUCCAAGUACUGUCAUGCAUAAAAAGAAGACCCCGCAACCACAAAGGGUGGGCCAGAAGAUUACUUUGGAGCUCGUGUAAGUGACACUCCAAGGAUUGGCCGGCAGCGGGUUCAGCGGUCCCGGCCCCUGGAGCCACAGGAUGUCAUCCCCAUGACAUGCCUGGAAACCCCAGCUCAUCCCUCAACUGUCCGGUUACAGCAGCAUCUCCGUCAUGUUGCACUUCAAGUCUGUCACUGGCAUGGCUUCAUGCUCCUCACCCGGGAACCCUUCCGUUUUUUGCUGAGGCCCGUAUUUUUAUUUUUAACACCGAGUCCUUCACAUCAGUGGGGGUGAUGGCUUCUUUUGCAGGAUGGGAUUCCGCCAUAGGAGGGAAUGGCUGGGGAUCAUACAGCAAAUGUACAUGCAUGUGCUAAGAGAGGAGCUGUGCAUGAAAGCCUCCUAGAAAGCAUUUGAAAUGUGUUUAUUUUUCAGUGAUUUUGAAAGAUUUUUGGCUGAUAGCUCUGGACACCAGCUCUGGUCUCUGCACUUUCUCUUUCACAUCGCUCUAUGGGAAGCAGUUUUUGGGAGAGCUCUGCCUGCCUGGAGGUGUGGGGCUGUCCUGGCAGCUUUGCCCCACACCGGCCACCCAGUCCCUAGAGCCCAGGAUGCUGCCGGUGGGGGGGCACAGCCAGAGCGCUCCCACCAGCUGCAGCCAGACAUUAUGGCUCAUGCUGGAGGGACUCGGUGCCGGCACAGUAAUUGCAGGCUAGCUAGAUUUUUGCUGUGGUAUUACAAAUUCCCCCAGGGAAGCCCACAACUAUGGCCAUUUACAUGGUAACAUGGUCAGGCAUGAGUCAUUUUCUUCCCUCUCUCCCUCUCUGUCUCUGUUUCUCCUCUGACACACACACGCACUCUAACAAAUGCAAGCACAAAUCAACAAACUGGUAAAUAAAAUUUAAAUGAUGCCUUAGUGCAUUUUCAGCCCCUUUCUUCUGGCUGAGUGUACAGUUUGAUGUACUUUUUUUUUUUUUUGCUAUAAAAAGUAGCACAAAAUAUAUGGGCCAUGUGAAUGUUGAUACUGGAACAAUGACUUUCGCAUCUUCUGCUUCACGUUAUGUUUUUUUACCAGGUUACCUUUAACUAAAAAAUUAAUCAGUAAAAGUAAUCCUUAAAAGACAAAUCUUUGUCAAUAUAGUAAAACAGGAAACUUGCAAAGCGAGUGACAGGGUCACUGUUUAAGAAGUUGCUUCAUCUAACUCCUUCCUUAAUACUUAACUCCGCUAAGCUUGUUGCCACCCUUUUCCUACACAUCUG